CCUGUUUGCAAAGGUCACAAUUGGGAGAUGAUGUGAGUUUCAUUAAGUGAUGCCUUCUGGGUGUAAGAUGUAUUCUAUGCACAAAUCUAUAGUGUAUUAAUUGGUAAUUCAGUGGUUUUUUUUAAGGAGCAAUUCAGUUUAGGCCACACAGUAUCCCAGCAAAUCUCCCUCCCCUCAUGAUCCACACCAGAAAAAUCCCUACACUAAAUCUUUUGUACUUGGGGUCCCAUCCCAUCCAGGGGACUUCCCUUUUUCAUAUUGUCUAACAUCUCUCUCAACUCUAAUGGAAUGGGGGCUCUUAUUGUUCAUCAGAACAAUAAACAAUAAACAUAGUAAACGGAGAUCUUGAAAAAAAUUUAUCAAAUAUAGAGAUCUGAUUUUAUAGCGGGUGGUAUAAAAGGACUUAAAUUCAGCAUUAAUAUCCUGGGGAUCAGUCAGAACACCUGUAUUAAAGUGUAUCAAUGGCCAAGAUAUUUGAAUAUUUUUCAUUGCUUUUUAAUUGUAGUGCCCCAUUAAGGUAAUAUGUUGUUCUUCUAGUUUUAUGCAUUAGAAACUCAGUUCUGUGUCUUAAUGAAAAGUUAAGCUUUGUUUUUGUCACAUUUACUCUUUUUUGUUUGUUUGUUUGUUUGUUUGUUUUUUCUUCUUGGGUUUGUUUGUUUCCUCUGUAUAGGAAUUCUCCUUGAGAUGUGAGAGUCAUUUCCAGCUUAUUGAUCUUGCUUACCUAUGUUUGUUAAGCCAGAGGCGACAGUGGCAAGGAAAAUUUCCCUGAGAUGACAUGAGGAAGAAACCUCGAGAGGAACCAGACACAACAGGAAGCCCGUCCUCAUCUGGAUGACAUUGGAUUUUGCAGUCACUGAUAAUUCAAGAUUAACAUGUGUUGCUAGAGAGAGGGGAACGUAAGAGGAAGUGGGAAGAGAGAGAAAUACAGAUUAUUAGGUAUGCUAUUGUCCUGUAAUUGUUUAAGGAAAUGUAUGUCAUGUGCAGGGUGCAAGCAGGGACUCUGGCAAGCGUAGUUAUGACAGCAUAACUAAAAGGGAGAACCAGAAGGUAACACAGACAUGAGGGUGCCCUGGGAGCAGCCAGCCACUCCACUGUCAGCAAACCCGAGUGAACAUGUGAGAGUAGGGAGGGGGUCGACAGUAUCCAAACAUCCCAGUUCACCACAACACUCUAUGUCCAUGAACCCUACAGAUCUGUGCCUUUGUGAGAAAAGUUAUUUAAGAGAGAAGUUAUUAACAAAAGAUUUGACUAAAAUGUUUUUAGCCUAGAUUUUUAACACUGAGACUGUGUCUGAGUCCCAAAUACUAAUUGGAAGACUGUUCCAUAACUGUCGAGCUAUGCAAGGGAAAGCUCUGCCCCCUGCUGUAGCCUUCAUUAUUUGCAGUAACAACAAGGAGCCUGCACCUUUUGAUUGAAGUAGGUGUGGCAGAUCAUAAAAGACCAGAGGUUUACUCAGGUACGGUGACAUGAGACCAUUCAGUGCUUUAAAGAUCAAUAGUAGUAUUUUAUAAUCAAUGUGCAAUUUUACUGGGAGCCAAUGUAGUGUGGAUAAGAUAGGGGUGAUGGGGUCAUAUCUUCUGGUAAAGACUCUGGCUGCUGCAUUCUGGACUAACUGGAGCUUGUUUAUGCACCUACUGGAACAUCCAGACAGAAAAGCAUUACAAUCCAACCUAGAGGUAACAAAAGCAUGAAGUAGUUUUUCUGCAUCAUGUAGUGACAUUGUUUCUUAUCUUAGCAAUAUUUCUGAGAUGAAAGAAGGCUAUCGUAUCGUAAUCAUUUCAGUUAUGAUGUAACUGAAAGACCAUCCAGUGUUGCUAUGUAAUCAGAAAGCUUACUUCUGAUCUGCCUGUGGUCCUAGAACAAGUACUUCUGUCUUGUCAGAAUUAAGUAGAAGGAAGUUACUAAGCAUCCAGUGUCUAAUGUCCUUUACACGUUAUCAAAUUGUCUGGCUUUAAAUUAAUAGUCUGAAUUUUUUGCCUGAUAUUUUCAAUUUUGUUAUUGCUACUACAUAUUGAUGGUGUGCAUGCUUCUGUGGUGGUCUCAUUCCUAGUUAACUUUGCUACUAGCUAGGAUUAUUUUUAUCUUCUGUUAUCUUCUGUUAGGGUGAAGUAUGUUGAUCUAGCAGCACUAAGAGCCUUUCUAUAGCCCAUGCAGUUUGUAAUACUACCAAUUUAGUUUGAUACCAUUUACUUUCUAAUUUUCAAAUAGUCUGUUUUAAGAUGCAUGUGUGAACAUUAUACUAGGGUGAUAGUUUUUUCUUUCUAAUUAUUUUUCUUUUAAGUGGACCUACAUUAUCUAGAGUGUAGUGGAAUAUUGACUUUAAGUAUUCAGUCGUCUGAUCAUGUUUUGUGGGGUCAGACGGUGAUUCAGUCAAAGUUGAUAACUUUGGGAGAUUAUUGGUAAAACUAUUUGCAGUAGCUGACAUGAAUGUAUGUUUGAUGUGGUAUUGUGGCAUAAUGCAUAUAUUUUGACUAAGACAUUUUAAAUGAGAUGAGGUAAUGAUCUGAGAGAGUCACACGUAUACAAUCUGAAGCUAUUUUUUCUAUAUUUAAUCCAAAUGUUAGAAUUAAAUCAAGACUGUGACCACCUUUGAAUGGGUCCUAUAACAUUCUGAUCGUUCUCAGCAGGUCUUGCAGGUUAUAACAUUCAAUAUUAACAUCUCCAGCAAUUAAAGCUUUGUCUACAGAAACAACUAGGUUUGAGAUGAAAGCCACAAAUUCACAAAGAAAUUCAAAUUACGGCCCUGGGGGUCUGUAAAAUGUAAUUAGUGGAAUCAACUGGGUAGACUUUUUUGUGGUUACAUAUGUUACUAUAAAGAACUUCAAAUGUGACAAAUUCAUGUCCAGGAUUUUGUGUGAUGCCAAGAAUAUCAUUAUGAUAUUUGAUAUCAUAUACGAUAAAUAUCAUGUGUAAUGAUGGUGGUGUUGCAAAGUUUGAUGCAUAUAACUGAAUUUGGGAGGACUAGCUUCAUUUAUUGCUCACUCAUUUGUUUUAAUCCACAUUUCUGUUAAACACAGUACAAACUUCUGAUCGGUAAGAGUUUCAUUAACAAUUGUGCUUUAACUGUAUGAGAUCUAUUUAACAGUCCUAGCUUCAGAUUAAAGGUGCUGACUGUGCUUUCAUUAUGAUCAAAUUUGAUGUUAAGUUACUAAAACAAACUUUGAGUGUUUUCUAAAAUUUUUAUUUUAGCUUGGGGAACAGACAUAGUCUCAAUAUGGUGGAACCAGAGUGAUAACUAAAGGCAGCUAGCAGAUGGCCGGUCUAGCCUGUUUGUCUGCUCCCUGGCCUUGGCUCUGGAUUGUCACAGAUUAACUAGGCCUAUUCUGAGACUGAGCUAUGCUGCAAGAAAUGAGAGCAGCACCUUCCCAAGUGGGAUGGAUACCGUCCUGCCCUAAACAAUUAUCAAUAAAGCCCACAUUGUUUUUGGCGCACCACCUGGACCAUAACCCAUCAACGUGAUGCCUGCAUAAAAAAAUCUAAGCAAGCAUUUUGCUUGAUUUGACCAUUUAUCUUGUUUAUGUUCCAGCUAACUGCAUGUUAUGUUGUUGUGUGUCAUAAUCUGUCACUUUGUUUUCAUCAACACCAAUGCAAAUAAAGUAACAAACCAUCAGCAGCCACCUCAAUACCAUCAUAAGAAAAGGAUGUACCCAAGGAGAUCGAGCACACCCAUUGACCCUGGUUGCCAUAUAACCCUCAAAAACUCAACUAUCCAAAGAACAGGGAAAAGGAAAAAACAGCUAGAAAAGGGGGGAAAAAAUGUCUGACGCUCACAUGGAAAACUGUUCCCAUAGUUCAUGUCAGAUGACAUGAUGCAGAGACACCAGGCAAACAUAGUGCCUCUAGAAAGUAUUGAGAUGAAAAAAGAUGGAGGUGGUUAUUAAAACAUCGGCAAAGAUUUGAACCUCCUUAGGAACACUGUGAAAUCCAUUAUAGCAAAGUGGAAAAAAUAUAGCACAAUCCAGAUGCUACCAAGACUGAGUGCUUAAACAAGAAGGGCAAUUGUCAGAGAAGUGUCAGAGUCCAGCUACAACCCUAAAAGAGUUACAGAGCUCACUUGCUGAAAUAGGAGAACCUGUACA